AUGUCGCACGCAUACGCCGCCACGAUCAAAAUCGAAGCCCCCGACACCGUGAACAGUACCGCUACCUCAUCUCUUCGUCAAGCCAACGACGUCACCACAUAUCCACACGCGGCGACCAGCAUCGUAAGGCCGAAAGCCAUAGUCCACCUCCCAACGUCAUCAACUUAUCCGGUCACGACCACACAAAUGAACACCGACGGCCAGCUGAGCGCACCACCAUCAUGUUCGACGAUGCACAAAUCGCGACCAUCAAAAAUCCCCUCAUCUCCCGCCACGAAUCCAUCUCAGUAG